rnacentral:lncRNA from 1 species
AUUUUCCACACCUCUGGACUAGAUGUUUAGGACAACAGAGCUAUGAACUCAAGCAGAAAGGAAGGACAUUUGGACAUGGCUGUACUUGGCUACAUCAAGCACACACACCAGACCCUGGAGAGUGGCCAGUGUGAAGGGGAACUACCCAUGCAGUGAGCUCCCCGUGGCUGGAGUGCUGCAUUGCUGAGGCUGACAUUUAAAUCCGUUUGCAUCACAGAGCCCCCACCAGCUGGCACUGGGGGGUAGGAGGUGGGUGAAGGGGCCCUGCCUGGCAGAUGGAGUGGGCGCGGCUGCCCGCAUGCUGGUGUGGUCAGGAGCAUCAGGCGUUGCCUGGGAAUAUUG